rnacentral:rRNA from 1 species
AUGGGGGAAACCCUGACCGAGCAAUGCCGCGUGUGAGAUGAAGGUCCUUCGGAUUGUAAAUCACUUUUAUUUGGGAAGAACUGUAAGCAGAGGAAAUGAUGCUUACUUGACGGUACCUUUUGAAUAAGCCCCGGCUAACUACGUGCCAGCAGCCGCGGUAAUACGUAGGGGGCGAGCGUUAUCCGGAUUUAUUGGGCGUAAAGCGUGCGUAGGCGGUUUAUUAAGUCUAGAAUUAAAGCCCGAGGCUUAACCUCGGUUCGUUCUAGAUACUGGUUGACUAGAGUACAGUAGAGGCAAAUGGAAUUCCUAGUGUAGCGGUGGAAUGCGUAGAUAUUAGGAGGAACACCAGUGGCGAAGGCGAUUUGCUGGGCUGUAACUGACGCUGAGGUACGAAAGCGUGGGUAGCAAAUAGGAUUAGAUACCCUAGUAGUCCACGCUGUAAACGAUGAGCACUAAGUGUCGGGUUACCGGUGCUGAAGUUAACACAUUAAGUGCUCCGCCUGAGUAGUACGGUCGCAAGACUGAAACUCAAAGGAAUUGACGGGCACCCGCACAAGCGGUGGAGCAUGUUGUUUAAUUCGAAAAUACGCGAAGAACCUUACCUAGGCUUGACAUCCCUGGCAAAGCUAUAGAAAUAUAGUGGAGGUUAUCCAGGUGACAGGUGGUGCAUGGUUGUCGUCAGCUCGUGUCGUGAGAUGUUCAGUUAAGUCUGCUAACGAGCGCAACCCUUGUCGAUAGUUGCUAACAUUUAGUUGAGAACUCUAUCGAGACUGCCGGUAUUAAACCGGAGGAAGGUGGGGAUGACGUCAAAUCAUCAUGCCCCUUACGUCUAGGGCAACAGGCGUGCUACAAUGGCUGGUACAAUGAGUCGCAAAACCGCGAGGUGGAGCUAAUCUCCAAAGCCAGUCUCAGUUCGGAUUGAAGUCUGCAACUCGACUUCAUGAAGCUGAAAUCGCUAGUAAUCCCGGAUCAGAAUGCCGGGGUGAAUACGUUCUCGGGUGUUGUACACACCGCCCGUCACGGCAUGGGAGUCAAUAAUAUCCGAAGCCGGUAGCCUAACCCGAAAGGGAGGGGGCCGUCGAAGAUAGGAUUGGUGACUGGGCUGAAGUCGUAACAAGGUAUCCCUACCGGAAGGUGGGGAUG